CUGCUUUGCACUUUUUACACUGUUUAUUCACCAACACUUUAUUUAAUAAAAGUCCCAUCUAGUUUUUAUGAGGAAUGUGAUGUUUUAAUUUCUCUGUGAAUAACUGCAGUCUAAUGCAACAGCUGGAGUUGUAACAUCUGUCCUGAUAUUGAUCAUGAAGUAUUGAUCAGAAUACUUAUGGUCAGCAGUCAUCCCUGAAGUUUUACAUUAAAAUCUUUACUUGUGUUGUGAACUUUGGUAAGAAGCAGAAACGUUAGCGUUGCCAUGGAUACAUGAGUGUUAAAUUCUGUCCAUGUUUCCAUUUUGGGAAAUUCAGUCCAGUUCCAGAAUGUGGAGGAAUUUAGUCUCACAAUCACAGACAACAAAUAUUAUCUGAAAGUCGGGUUAUUGUUGUUUAUCAGCACAAUACAAAAAGAUUAAUGUUAGAAAUAUUCCAGUUAAGACUCUAGAAUAUCAUGAUUUAUGUAAAUUUACCUCAAUAAUAUGAAUGUUCCGGUUAAGAUUGAACAGUGAUAUUUAUUAUGUAAGUUUAGCUGAUUAAAGUUUAUGACUCUGCACUAAAAUAUUACUUAAAUUGACAUCAUUAUUAUAAUAUUUAGGGUCAGACCCUACAGUAUUGAAAUUAAGAAAUCAAAUAUUCUAUAAAAUGUAAAUACACUGAACUCAUUUGGAUAUAUUUAAGUGAGACUCUACAAUAUUAUUUGACACAAAUCUAUCUAAAUCAAAAUUUUAAUCAUUGUUACUCCAAGCAUUUACUGGACUGAUUUAAAUAUUAAAAUCACUCCUUUCUAAUCCUCUGCUGUACGUUCAAACCUGAGGCCUUAAAUAGAAACACACAAGUAUCUGAUUGAAGGAACUUCUGCAGAGUCCUGGUUCCAGAAGAUGAUGAUAGAAUUAUAGACAAACUUUAACAAAAGCUGCCUGAGAGUUUACAGGUUUUUAUGUUAGAUUUCUUCAGUAAUUUAAUGAGCGUUAUCAGCAAUAAUCAAGUGUUCAUUUGAUGAACUUCAUUUCCUAAAACAUCCAGAAUUGGAGCUCAUAUCUUUGGCAGCUGUAAAGUUUCUGCUCCUUCAAAGUUCACAACACAAUGAAUGAAUUCCUAAAACUCUCUCAAUGCUGGACAGCGUUUGUGAUGCUGAAGCAGUGAUCAGUUUUUCUGUUUCUUCUCUGGAGAUGCACAAUGAGGGACGUCUGCAGAGACUGAGAAAGAGUCUCACCACAUCCUGACAUGAGGAAAAAGACUUUAUUGAAGACUACAAUGAGAAAAACUAUCAGACAGCAGACGGCUGCAUUCAAGUCUGUAGCUGCUGAAUUCAUGGAUGAAUCAUCUGGCACUAGAGAGGAAGACCAUCAAACAUCCACGUCAGCUGAUGGAGGUCCAAGAGUCUCACCCAACAAACAACCUACAGAGUGAAGACCUCGAAUCUGAUUGGACGGCCUCCUAUUCAGCCACAUGCUGUUAGAUUGUUCCAGAUAAGACAAGUACAAGAUUCUUCAGAGCCGUUCUACCACGAGCCUGACAGGAAGAACUCCAACAGCUACUGAAUGUUCCUGUGGUCCCCUCAAGGCUACAGGAGGAGCCCUACGAGGACGAGCCGGUCCACCUGAUGGCGGCCAGUCGCUGCGGUUCAAAGCCAACACCGACUACGUGGACUUCUACUGGACCACAUGGAGGCCUUCAAACCAGACCAACAAGUUCAGCGACUCCCCGACUCGUGGGUCUGAGGACGCCGCCGAGCCUCGGUCCAGCCGGCCUCCUGUCUGUGGGUGUUUGAGUGCUGAGAGGUUUGUGGAUGGAUGUGAACGUGUCUGUGUUGAAACAGCAGCUUUGGACUCAGUAACGCUGGGAAAAACCAAGAGCUCCUUUAUUUGUGACUUCCACUAAAAUACUGAUGAUAAUAAGUUUGCCAGGGUUCUGACUGAUAACAGAUUAUUAAAUAAUGAAAAUAAUCAUUUAAAUAUUCCUUUAAACAAUCCUUUUAGGUCUACAUUUCCUUUACACUGACUUCUUGGUAUUUUGGGUGGAAUAUACAAUUAAGCCAGACGUUCAAGGGUUCUUCUGGGAAUAUACCAUUAAACCAACC
ensembl:lncRNA